GGAAGUUCGGGCCCAAAGACCCU
rnacentral:siRNA from 1 species